GACAGAGGGGGCAAGCGUUGCUCGGAAUCACUGGGCGUAAAGGGCGCGUAGGCGGGCUGGCAAGUCGGUCGUGAAAUCCUUCGGCUCAACCGAAGAACGUCGGCCGAUACUGCCGUUCUUGAGGGAUGCAGAGGAGAGUGGAAUUCCCGGUGUAGCGGUGAAAUGUGUAGAGAUCGGGAGGAACACCGGUGGCGAAGGCGGGUCUCUGGGCAUCUCCUGACGCUGAGGCGCGAAAGCGUGGGGAGCAAACAGG
rnacentral:rRNA from 1 species